rnacentral:misc_RNA from 1 species
UUCAAUCUUCGUGUUUUCGAUUCUCAAAUGACCUUUCAGCGACCCACGAAAAACUCAGAAACGAUCACACCUCUAAAAAUGUUUUUCCAUCCUCGUGUUCGAGGCUAAUAGCUUCGGUUAAUAUGGUGAAUGCAAGUUAUUUUAAGGCUAAUUAUUAUCGAGCAGUAACGGGAUAUAACCGGGAUUUCCGAGUCAAUUAACGCUAAACGCGAACAAUAUCUCAUGCCAUCUACUGAUCGUAAUCUAAUAUUAAUCGAAAAAUGUUCGACGAAUAAAUUGAUAGGAUUUUUUAAAAUUUUGAUGAACUGUGGAGAAUUCUGUACUUAUGGAAAAUGUAAAUCUACAAACAUUUAUAAAAUGCACUUAAUGUGAAAGAUAUAAAAAAUAUGCAGAUUAAUUUCUGCGAUGAUUGCCCCUAGUAAACACUCGAAUAUAGUUACUGGAA